GCUUUCGGAGCUAACGCGUUAAAUCGACCGCCUGGGGAGUACGGCCGCAAGGUUAAAACUCAAAUGAAUUGACGGGGGCCCGCACAAGCGGUGGAGCAUGUGGUUUAAUUCGAUGCAACGCGAAGAACCUUACCUACUCUUGACAUCCAGAGAACUUAGCAGAGAUGCUUUGGUGCCUUCGGGAACUCUGAGACAGGUGCUGCAUGGCUGUCGUCAGCUCGUGUUGUGAAAUGUUGGGUUAAGUCCCGCAACGAGCGCAACCCUUAUCCUUUGUUGCCAGCGAUUCGGUCGGGAACUCAAAGGAGACUGCCGGUGAUAAACCGGAGGAAGGUGGGGAUGACGUCAAGUCAUCAUGGCCCUUACGAGUAGGGCUACACACGUGCUACAAUGGCGUAUACAAAGAGAAGCGACCUCGCGAGAGCAAGCGGAGCUGAUAAAGUACGUCGUAGUCCGGAUUGGAGUCUGCAACUCGACUCCAUGAAGUCGGAAUCGCUAGUAAUCGUAGAUCAGAAUGCUACGGUGAAUACGUUCCCGGGCCUUGUACACACCGCCCGUCACACCAUGGGAGUGGGUUGCAAAAGAAGUAGGUAGCUUAACCUUCGGGAGGGCGCUUACCACUUUGUGAUUCAUGACUGGGG
rnacentral:rRNA from 1 species